rnacentral:rRNA from 1 species
UACGAAGGGGGCUAGCGUUGCUCGGAAUCACUGGGCGUAAAGCGCACGUAGGCGGACUCUUAAGUCAGGGGUGAAAUCCUGGAGCUCAACUCCAGAACUGCCUUCGAAACUGGCGAUCUUGAGUCCGGGAGAGGUGAGUGGAACUGCGAGUGUAGAGGUGAAAUUCGUAGAUAUUCGCAAGAACACCAGUGGCGAAGGCGGCUCACUGGCCCGGUACUGACGCUGAGGUGCGAAAGCGUGGGGA